rnacentral:tRNA from 1 species
UUCGGGGUAGUUCAGUGGGAGAACUCUCGGCUCCGGACCUAGAUGGCGCUGGUUCGAUUCCAGCCCCCGAAC